GGGAAGUGGCUCAGCUGGGUAGAGCACCUGGUUUGGGACCAGGGGGUCGCAGGGUCACGUCCUGGCUGCCCGAUAAUUGUUUGGGGCCUUAGCUCAGCUGGGCGAGCGCCUGCCUUGCCCG
rnacentral:tRNA from 1 species